ACUAUAAAGGAUAUGUUAAACAUGCAGAAAGGGAUAGAAAAUACCCCCAGAAAUAGAUGGCAUAGUGCUUUAUUAACCUUGAAUUUUCUUAAUGCUUGUGAGAACAGCAGUGCUAAAGGAAUGAGGGCUGAGGAGAAACAUUGGGUAAUAGAUAAAACUUCUGAAUUAAAUCAGCUGGUGUAUUGCGAGGAUGUGUUGGCCUUGGAAUGCAAACAAGGAGAUGUGCUGCGUUGAGGAAGGGGUUUCACUCUUGUUUCCACAGAAGAAGAAAAGCUAUGAAUAUCGUCAAAAUUAAUAAUGAUUCAGUUUAAAAAGGAGAAACCUCUUGAUAAAGAGAAAUGACAGUUCAUCCACAGAGGUGAUAGUCACACAGGUGGUAAGGAAACUUCAGAAAAGGCUGGGGCAAGGUUCUGUUCUUGUCUUUGCAGGAAAAUACUCAUCUUCAAAAGGUUGAGAGACUUUGGACGUCUAGAUGCCUAAAGAAGAAAAGAUAGCUAUCCAGAAAGAAUCACCAAGCAAAAAGAAAUCUGACUUAUGUUUUCAGAAAGAAGAUGGGGGCCGUACAGCAAGGAUUCCACCUGGCUGAUAUGACAUCAUAAGGAAAACCCACAGGUUAGCAACACUGGAACAACUAAGACCCGAACUCCGGCUUCUCUGGACUGCUUUAGCAGAAUAACUGCGACACCUGCUGGCCCACAUCGUUAUUACACCUUAAGAUUCUCAUCUGAACCAGGAUUUCAAGGGAGGUGAUCAGAUGAUGGCAGAUAAUAUCACCACCCAGGAAUUUAAAAACCUUUUUGUUUCUACUAUGGAAGGAAUUCUAGAAGAUGUAUAUGACCUCCCUGGAGUGUACACAUACUUAGUCUUAGCCACUAUUAGUUUGAUACUUCACAUACAUUCUUAGAGAAAUGAUUUGAUAACAGAGUCAAGAAUAAGAAACUUUUAGAAAUGAUACUGACUUUACAGGUUAGUAAAGAGAAGCUGACUGAAAAGAUUCAUAAGUUGUAAAUGAUAACCAUAAUUUGACAGGCAAUAUUCAUUCCAUGUCAACAGGUUAUGGAACCUAACAGAAUGGUAUGGAGAUUAUCUGAAAGGAUUCAUACUGUUGAAAUUGAUAAUCAAAAUUGUUAAAAAGUUAUGAAAAGCUAGCAGAUAGAACAUUCCUCCUGGAAGACAAUCUAUAUGCUAUCUAGAUAAUAUCUAAGGAUGAGAAGAUAUCAUUAAUGGAAAAACUUAAAGAAUUGAAAUCACAUGUACAUGAUGAGAACCAGAAAUUUGUUGAUUUGAUAAAAUCAUUAAAAAUAUUCAUAGAUAAAGAAAUUCAGACUCUACAAAAGACAGUGAUACAUAGAUUCAAAAUCACUGAAAAACUUGUCAGGACUAAUAAUCAAGGAGAUUAUGUACAAACAAAAGACAGUAAUAAAGACCAUCACCAGUACAUCUCAGAGUCAGAGAUGACUUACCAAGAGUUUUAACUACUUAUCCUGUUACUAUUUCUGAAAAGCCGGCAAAUACCCAAAAAGAAAUGCAGAAUAUAAAUGGGAGACUAUAUAUAUAAAAGAUCUAAAAGAUAUUAAGCAAGCAGUAGUAUCUUAUGACAAGCAUUCACCAUGUGUUAAGCAGUUGGUAAAGAUAUGGGCUUCAAGAAAUAAGGUUACUCCACGUGAUUGGCUUCACUUAGUCUCAGCUGUAUUAGACCCAUGGUCCACAGCUUCAGUGGAGAGUUAUUGGAGAGAGGAAGCUAAGACUCUUGAAUAUCAAGGUGCAGCCAAAGGUUUUGAGGCGUCCCAAGAUCAAAUUCUUGGUGAGCCUGAGGGCCUUUAUGCUGAUCUGGAUAGUCAAACUAUAUACAAUGAACUCAUCUUGUCCCUAUGUGGUAGAGCAAUCUUGAAUACUUGGGACAAGAUUCAAGAACCAGGAAAAAUGAUUGAAUCAUAUACUAAGGUUAUACAAGGCCCAAGAGAACAAUUUAGUGACUUUUUGCAAAGAUUAAAUAAAGCUUUAUAAAUAGGAGUAGCAGAUCCAGCAGCUGUAUGAGUUCUCAUUGAAUCUCUCUCUGAUUUUUUAAAAAUGCUAAUUUAGAAUGCAAAAAAAAAAAAUACUUGGGCCCUUAGAGGUAAGAUCGGCACCAAUUGACAAAAGGAUUCUACACACAGCCAGUGUUGAGUCCUUUGGCUAUAACACUGGGGAUUGAGUAGAAGUGAUUUCCAAGGGAAUAAAAAGACAUCAAAAUAACAAAUGUUUUAAUUAUGGCAGAAUAGGCCAUCUGAAAGACAUUGUAGAGAGGGAGUUGCUAGAAAUAAUGUUUUCAGGGAAUGAUCCAAAAGGAAGUCCUAGGAGUGGAGAUGUAAAUAAGACAAGAUGAUGUGCCUCUCUCCUCUAACUCUUGCAGAAUAUUUAGCUAUGCAAAGACAUGUUGCAUUUGUUGAACUAUGGAAAGAUGUGUUGUGUUCAUUUAAUUUUGUAAAGCUGUGUGGCUGUUUUACCUUGCCUGCCUAAGACACAUGAUUGGUCUAACAAAGAACUGAAUGGCAGAUAGUGAGGGAGGAGGU